AUACGGAGGGUGCAAGCGUUAAUCGGAAUUACUGGGCGUAAAGCGUACGUAGGCGGUUCGUUAAGUUAGAUGUGAAAGCCCCGGGCUUAACCUGGGAACUGCAUUUAAAACUGGCGAACUAGAGUUGAGUAGAGGGGAGUGGAAUUUCAGGUGUAGCGGUGAAAUGCGUAGAGAUCUGAAGGAACACCAGUGGCGAAGGCGACUCCCUGGACUCGAACUGACGCUGAGGUACGAAAGCGCGGGUAGCAAACGGGAUUAGAAACCCCAGUAGUCC
rnacentral:rRNA from 1 species